GUAUGUCUAGCUCAGUUGGUAGAGUGCAAGACUUUUAACUUUGAGGUUGUGGGUUCAAGCUCCAUCGUGGACG
rfam:Zea mays cultivar B73 chromosome 2, whole genome shotgun sequence.